UACACACGACAUCGUCUUCUUCUUCGCCACUACAAUUUCUCCACAUAAUGAAUAGAGAUAAAAAAGUUUGCAUCCCAUUAACGGCCAUUAUGCCUUCAACGAGGCUUCAACAUCGCAUCCCAUUCGCACGGACAUAAAUCACCUACAACAGCUUCCAUGGUGUCCUCCUGCCAUUGCAUAGCGUCUUGAUUGAGAAUCCCUAGCCGAUACUUCCACAAACCGACUGCCAUUCGCACGUAAGAGCUCCGAUCUCCUUAUCUUAGCCACAACUUCAGCCUCUUUCAAUGACAUUUUUCCCCUUUUAUGGAAUCUGACAAGUGGAGGAAGGUCGUGUCUGUCCCUAAUGAAAAUUGAGGUUCAUCAAAUAUGACUUUCUCCGAAGUAAAGCAUGAGAGGACAAUAGUUUAGUUUUGUUGUUUGGUAGAUGUAAUUUUCAUGUACUUUUACUUGCUUAUUUAGAUCUCAUUAUGCCUUUGUACUCCUAUCCCUGUGAUAUGUGGUUGUUGCAUUCUAUAGUAUUUGGUAAACUUAAACAUUAAUAAGUUUGAUUUUUAUUGA